GUGCUUGCUUCAGUAGCACAUAUACUAAAACUGGAACGAUACAGAGAAGAUUAGCAGGGCCCCUGCACAAGGAUGACCUAAAAAUUCAUGAUGUGUCCCAUAUUUUA
ensembl:snRNA U6 U6 spliceosomal RNA